GCCGGCAUAGCUCAGAGGAAGAGCAACUCUUUCGUAAAGAGUAGGUCGUGGGUUCAAAUCCCUCUGCCGGCU
rnacentral:tRNA from 1 species